rnacentral:lncRNA from 1 species
UGCAGAAAAGGAAAAUGCAGUGGAAAGGCUGGAGAGAGAAGGCCAAGGCUGGGAGCCUUUGGAGACAAGCUGAAGAACCCACUCCAAGUUGUCCUGCUGGCUUCCAUGCGGACAUCAUGAAUGUUCCUGAACCAGCUGGAGGCGAGUUUGGAUAUGACAGAGAUACAUCAUUGCUGAAAGAGAUCAGGAGUAGGUGAGGGUCAGGUGCUGGGUCUCCAACCCAGGGGCAGGCUCUUAUCCCAGGGAACUGAAUCAGGGCUGUGGAAACCACAACAGGAACAACUUGAACCAGGAA